rnacentral:misc_RNA from 1 species
GAUGAAGAACGCAGCGAAAUGCGAUAAGUAGUGUGAAUUGCAGAAUUCAGUGAAUCAUCGAAUCUUUGAACGCACAUUGCGCCCGCCAGUAUUCUGGCGGGCAUGCCUGUUCGAGCGUCAUUUCAACCCUCAGGCCCCCAGUGCCUGGUGUUGGGGAUCGGCCCAGCCUUCCUGUAAGGCCGCCGGCCCCGAAAUCUAGUGGCGGUCUCGCUGUAGUCCUCCUCUGCGUAGUAGCACAACCUCGCAGUUGGAACGCGGCGGUGGCCAUGCCGUUAAACACCCCACUUCUGAAAGUUGACCUCGGAUCAGGUAGGAAUACCCGCUGAACUUAAGCAUAUCAAUAAGCGGAGGA